UAAGUGGUGGUUCAAUGGUAAGAGCUUGGGACCAAGACUUCUAUGGUCUCAGGUUCGAGCCCUGAGUUGCUCAU